rnacentral:misc_RNA from 1 species
AAUGCGCUAAGUAAUGUGAAUUGCAGAAUUCAAUGAAUCAUCGAAUCUUUGAACGCACCUUGCGCUCCUUGGUAUUCCUUGGAGCAUGCCUGUUUGAGUAUCAUGAAAUCUUCAAAGUAAAUCUUUUGUUAACUCAAUUGGUUUCUACUUUGGUAUUGGAGGUCUUUGCAGCUUCACACCUGCUCCUCUUUGUUCAUUAGCUGGAUCUCAGUGUUAUGCUUGGUUCCACUCGGCGUGAUAAGUUAUCUAUCGCUGAGGACACUGUAAAAGGUGGCCAAGGUAAAUGCAGAUGAACCGCUUCUAAUAGUCCAUUGACUUGGACAAUACUUUUAUGAUCUGAUCUCAAAUCAGGUAGGACUACCCGCUGAACUUAAGC